GAUGAACGCUGGCGGCGUGCCUAAUACAUGCAAGUCGAGCGAACGGACGAGAAGCUUGCUUCUCUGACGUUAGCGGCGGACGGGUGAGUAACACGUGGAUAACCUACCUAUAAGACUGGGAUAACUUCGGGAAACCGGAGCUAAUACCGGAUCAUAUUUUGAACCGCAUGGUUCAAAAGUGAAAGACGGUCUUGCUGUCACUUAUAGAUGGAUCCGCGCUGCAUUAGCUAGUUGGUAAGGUAACGGCUUACCAAGGCAACGAUGCAUAGCCGACCUGAGAGGGGGAACGGCCACACUGGAACUGGAACACGGUCCAGGCUCCUACGGGAGGCAGCAGUAGGGAAUCUUCCGCAAUGGGCGGAAACCUGACGGAGCAACGCCGCGUGAGUGAUGAAGGUCUUCGGAUCGGAAAACUCUGUUAUUAGGGAAAAACAAAUGUGUAAGUAAAUGUGCACAGCUUGACGGUACCUAAUCAAAAAGCCACGGCUAACUACGUG
rnacentral:rRNA from 1 species